GCUGGUGUAGCUCAAUCGGUAGAGCAACUGACUUGUAAUCAGUAGGUUGUGGGUUCAAUUCCUAUCACCAGCUUCA
rnacentral:tRNA from 1 species